rnacentral:lncRNA from 1 species
UACUCCAGGAAAUUCUGCUAGAUGAACCAUGAAGUCAGUUUCAUUUCAUUGCCCCCACCAUACCAGUAUAUACAUCUAACAUCAAAGUCCAAGCUACGCCAAUAUAUAUACAUCUUACAUCUCAACUACCGCGAGGUUAAUUAUUACAGAUACAAGGCUCAAGAAAAGAAGAAGCAGAAACAACUUAGCAUCGAACACCAAACGAGGAAAGGGGCAAGCAGGCACACACAGUACCGCCACGGCCGUCAGAACAUGAAGGCCAUGGAGUUAAGCCUGGACAGGCGGCUCCACAUGUCCUCUUCCCGCGAGCUGAUCACCACCCUCGGGCGCAUCAUGGUCCGGCGAAGCUCCUCGAGCCUCGACAGGAGGAGGACGAUGCGCCGGCACGGGACGAAGACGAGGGUCAGCGGGAUGACCCAUAUGCCCAGCUCCAUCACCAGCAUCCUCGCUUAGCCGCUGCAAAAAAAAAAAAAAUAGUGGGAGUUUGCUUUGCCCUCGCACCCUUGGGUGGGUCGCCAGCUCCAUGCCCUUUAUAACGGACCUAGGCUCUAGUGGAGGGCACGCCAUCCGACCCGCCUUUGAUUUCUUGAUAUGAUAUGCGCGCCAUCUACUGCGGCAUGUGCUGUGUCCUAGCUCAGUGAGGUGUGUGAUCUGAAAUUAACUAGUGCAUUUAGCGUCAUCAGCUGCCUUGUCCUUUCACUGCUUUUAGUAGCCUGAGUAAGUCGCGACCAAUUUUUUCGGUUUGGCAUGGUCACUGCCAUCCGUGUCUCACCGCCUCGAAUAGUUGUUGGCGGAGCGCGGUGAUGCUUGCGUGAAGAAGCAAACACCAAAAGUGGGCAUUUGGUGCAGAUUGAGCACGGCGCCUUUGUGCUUUAUUGAAUAACUUGUG